ACUGCUCAGUAACACGUGGACAAUCUGCCCUUGGGUCUGGGAUAACUCCGGGAAACUGGAGAUAAUACCAGAUAGGUCAUAGAUGCUGGAAUGCUCUAUGGCCCAAAGCUCCGGCGCCCAAGGAUGAGUCUGCGGCCUAUCAGGUUGUAGUGGGCGUAAUGGACCCACUAGCCUACGACGGGUACGGGUUGUGAGAGCAAGAGCCCGGAGAUGGAUUCUGAGACAUGAAUCCAGGCCCUACGGGGCGCAGCAGGCGCGAAACCUUUACAAUGCGCGCAAGCGCGAUAAGGGGACCUCGAGUGUUCCUACCUAGUAGGAACUGUCCAGUUGUCUAAAAAACAACUGUUAGCAAGAGCCGGGCAAGACCGGUGCCAGCCGCCGCGGUAACACCGGCGGCUCGAGUGGUGACCGCUUUUAUUGGGUCUAAAGGGUCUGUAGCCGGUCUAACAAGUUCUUUGGAAAAUCUGGUCGCUUAACGAUCAGGCUGCUAGGGGAUACUGUUAGACUUGGGACCGGGAGAGGCUAGAGGUACUUUAGGGGUAGGGGUGAAAUCCUGUGAUCCUUAAAGGACCACCAGUGGCGAAGGCGUCUAGCUAGAACGGAUCCGACGGUGAGGGACGAAAGCUGGGGGCACGAACCGGAUUAGAUACCCGGGUAGUCCCAGCCGUAAACGAUGCGAGCUAGGUGUCAGUUUUACUGCGAGUAAAAUUGGUGCCGUAGGGAAGCCGUGAAGCUCGCCACCUGGGAAGUACGGCCGCAAGGCUGAAACUUAAAGGAAUUGGCGGGGGAGCACUACAACGGGUGGAGCCUGCGGUUUAAUUGGAUUCAACGCCGG
rnacentral:rRNA from 1 species